UUUAUAUGAGAGUUUGAUCCUGGCUCAGGAUGAACGCCGGCGGUGUGCCUAAUACAUGCAAGUCGUACGCACUGGCCCAACUGAUUGAUGGUGCUUGCACCUGAUUGACGAUGGAUCACCAGUGAGUGGCGGACGGGUGAGUAACACGUAGGUAACCUGCCCCGGAGCGGGGGAUAACAUUUGGAAACAGAUGCUAAUACCGCAUAACAACAAAAGCCACAUGGCUUUUGUUUGAAAGAUGGCUUUGGCUAUCACUCUGGGAUGGACCUGCGGUGCAUUAGCUAGUUGGUAAGGUAACGGCUUACCAAGGCGAUGAUGCAUAGCCGAGUUGAGAGACUGAUCGGCCACAAUGGAACUGAGACACGGUCCAUACUCCUACGGGAGGCAGCAGUAGGGAAUCUUCCACAAUGGGCGCAAGCCUGAUGGAGCAACACCGCGUGAGUGAAGAAGGGUUUCGGCUCGUAAAGCUCUGUUGUUGGAGAAGAACGUGCGUGAGAGUAACUGUUCACGCAGUGACGGUAUCCAACCAGAAAGUCACGGCUAACUACGUGCCAGCAGCCGCGGUAAUACGUAGGUGGCAAGCGUUAUCCGGAUUUAUUGGGCGUAAAGCGAGCGCAGGCGGUUGCUUAGGUCUGAUGUGAAAGCCUUCGGCUUAACCGAAGAAGUGCAUCGGAAACCGGGCGACUUGAGUGCAGAAGAGGACAGUGGAACUCCAUG
rnacentral:rRNA from 2 species